rnacentral:rRNA from 1 species
CUCCUACGGGAGGCAGCAGUGGGGAAUAUUGGACAAUGGGCGAAAGCCUGAUCCAGCCAUGCCGCGUGGGUGAAGAAGGCCCUAGGGUUGUAAACCCCUUUCAGCGGGGAAGAUAAUGACGGUACCACUAGAGGAAGCCCCGGCCAACUCCGUGCCAGCAGCCGCGGUAAUACGGAGGGGGCUAGCGUUAUUCGGAAUUAUUGGGCGUAAAGGGCGUGUAGGCGGCUUCGCCAGUCCCAUGUGAAAGCCCUCGGCUCAACCGGGGAACUGCAUGGGAAACUGCGGAGCUUGAGUCCGGGAGAGGAGAGUGGAAUUCCCAGUGUAGCGGUGAAAUGCGUAGAUAUUGGGAGGAACACCAGUGGCGAAGGCGGCUCUCUGGACCGGCACUGACGCUGAAACGCGAAAGCCAGGGGAGCAAACGGGAUUAGAUACCCCGGUAGUCCUGGCUGUAAACGAUGAGCACUUGGUGUGGCGGGUAUCGACCCCUGCCGUGCCGAAGCUAACGCAUUAAGUGCUCCGCCUGGGGAGUACGGCCGCAAGGCUGAAACUCAAAGGAAUUGACGG